rnacentral:rRNA from 1 species
AGCGGCGGACGGGUGAGUAACGCGUGGGAAUAUGCCCUUCUCUAAGGAAUAGCCUCGGGAAACUGAGAGUAAUACCUUAUACGCCCUUCGGGGGAAAGAUUUAUCGGAGAAGGAUUAGCCCGCGUUAGAUUAGGUAGUUGGUGGGGUAAUGGCCUACCAAGCCUACGAUCUAUAGCUGGUUUGAGAGGAUGAUCAGCCACACUGGGACUGAGACACGGCCCAGACUCCUACGGGAGGCAGCAGUAGGGAAUCUUAGACAAUGGGGGAAACCCUGAUCUAGCCAUGCCGCGUGUGUGAUGAAGGCCUUAGGGUCGUAAAGCACUUUCGCCAGAGAUGAUAAUGACAGUAUCUGGUAAAGAAACCCCGGCUAACUCCGUGCCAGCAGCCGCGGUAAUACGGAGGGGGUUAGCGUUGUUCGGAAUUACUGGGCGUAAAGCGCACGUAGGCGGAUUAGUAAGUUAGAGGUGAAAUCCCAGGGCUCAACCCUGGAACUGCCUUUAAUACUGCUAGUCUUGAGUUCGAGAGAGGUAAGUGGAAUUCCGAGUGUAGAGGUGAAAUUCGUAGAUAUUCGGAGGAACACCAGUGGCGAACGCGGCUUACUGGCUCGAUACUGACGCUGAGUGCGAAAGUGUGGGGAGCAAACAGGAUUAGAUACCCUGGUAGUCCACACCGA